rnacentral:misc_RNA from 1 species
GUAGGAAGAUCUCCACUGGCAUAUAAUGAAUUAUAAUGCACUUCACACCAAAAGCUCAGCCAAAGUUCUUUGUUGGGACUAUUGUCUUUGGGAAGGAUCUCGAUAUAACAGGUGUCUCGGAAAGAUGUGACUAAGCAGAUCUUUGCACCAAAUCUGUCUGCAGCCGCUUGUAGAGUAACGUGAUCUCCCCAUUCGCUUUUUCAUCUUCUU